CUUCUGGUUUGCGGUCACGCUGAAUGUCAGUCUAUCGCUCGGCCACCACGAUAUCGCCCAUCUAUUAUUAUUAUUAUUAAUUAAAACAACGCAGCGCGUGGAGGUGGAGGAAAAAUUGUGAAAAGUGCAAAAUCGCAGCGCGUAAAGCAAGUUGGCGACAUCGAUCGUGUAUAUUAUUAAUUAAAAUUCCGUCAAGCCAAGCCAAGCAAAGCGGUGCGGUGUGUGAGUGCGGGCUAAAUAAAAUCAAAAUACGAAUAUACGAA